rnacentral:rRNA from 1 species
UAGGGAAUCUUGCGCAAUGGGCGAAAGCCUGACGCAGCCAUGCCGCGUGAAUGAUGAAGGUCUUAGGAUUGUAAAAUUCUUUCACCGGGGAAGAUAAUGACGGUACCCGGAGAAGAAGCCCCGGCUAACUUCGUGCCAGCAGCCGCGGUAAUACGAAGGGGGCUAGCGUUGCUCGGAAUUACUGGGCGUAAAGGGCGCGUAGGCGGAUAUUUAAGUUGGGGGUGAAAGCCCGGGGCUCAACCUCGGAAUAGCCUUCAAUACUGGAUAUCUUGAGUUCGGGAGAGGUGAGUGGAAUGCCGAGUGUAGAGGUGAAAUUCGUAGAUAUUCGGCGGAACACCAGUGGCGAAGGCGACUCACUGGCCCGAUACUGACGCUGAGGCGCGAAAGCGUGGGGAAGCAAACAGGAUUAGAUACCCUGGUAGUCCACGCCGUAAAACGAUGAGUGCUAGUUGUCGGCAUGCAUGCAUGUCGGUGACGCAGCUAACGCAUUAAGCACUCCGCCUGGGGAGUACGGUCGCAAGAUUAAAAACUCAAAUGAAUUGACGGGGGUCAUAGCUGUUUCCUG